ensembl:snoRNA
UGUGAUCAGUGAUGAUGAUUCUCUCUAAUUGCCUGAUAAACUAUGAAGGCAAUUUUAGUCACUACCUCAUCUGAGAUCACU